UGAACGCUAGCGGCAGGCUUAAUACAUGCAAGUCGAACGAACAGCAAUGUUAGUGGCGCACGGGUGCGUAACGCGUAUGCAACUUGCCUUUAACUGGGGGAUAACGUUUCGAAAGAGGCGCUAAUACCGCAUAACACAGUGAUAACACAUGUUUUUAUUGUUAAAGCUCCGGCGGUUAAAGAUGGGCAUGCGUAGGAUUAGCUAGUUGGUAAGGUAAUGGCUUACCAAGGCGACGAUCCUUAGGGGUUCUGAGAGGAAGGUCCCCCACACUGGUACUGAGACACGGACCAGACUCCUACGGGAGGCAGCAGUGAGGAAUAUUGGACAUGGCGCAGCCUGAUCCAGCACUGCCGCGUGCAGGAAGAACGCAUC
rnacentral:rRNA from 1 species